rnacentral:rRNA from 1 species
UACGGAGGGUGCAAGCGUUUGUCCGGAAUCACUGGGCGUAAAGGGCGCGUAGGCGGCUCAUGAAGGCUGUGGUGAAAGUCCGGGGCUCAACCUCGGAUCGGCCGUGGCGACUCGUGGGCUGGAGCACUGUAGAGGCGGGUGGAAUUCCGGGUGUAGCGGUGAAAUGCUUAGAUAUGACAUAGAACACCAAUUGCGAAGGCAGCUUACUACACAAAUAUUGACGCUGAGGCACGAAAGCGUGGGGAUCAAACAGG